rnacentral:rRNA from 1 species
CCCUUAGAUGUUCUGGGCCGCACGCGUGCUACACUGAUGCAUUCAACGAGUCUAAAACCUGGUCUGAUAGGGCUGGGUAAUCUUUUGAAAGUGCAUCGUGAUUGGGAUAGAUGAUUGCAAUUCUUCAUCUUCAACGAGGAAUGCCUAGUAAACGCAAGUCAUCAGCUCGCAUUGAUUACGUCCCUGCCCUUUGUACACACCGCCCGUCGCUCCUACCGAUUGAAUGAUCCGAUGAAUACCAUGGAUUGAGAGUACGAAUAGGUUCGCUUAUUUCUGCUGCUCGAGAAGUGGAGUAAAUCUUACCAUUUAGAGGAAGGAGAAGUCGUAACA